CGAUUCAUCCUGGUUUGAUUAGAAUGACAAAGAAGUUGUCAUAUUCUCAAACAGGGAAACUGGGAUCACCUAAUUUGAAAGUGGGAUAACUUCUUCAUCCUAACUCCUAUGACAUUUAUUCAACUUCUUGGUGAUUCUCCACUACUUUCUGUAUCAAAAUCAAGCUUCUUACAUCGCGAUUAUUCCUGGUUUGAUUUGAAUGACGAAGAAGUUGUCAUAUUCCCAAAUAGAGAAACUGGGAUC
rnacentral:lncRNA from 1 species